UAAGUGCGAGGUUUUCUCGGCACAGCCGUCGAUUUGCAUAUCUCCUUCGAACUCCUAGUGGCGUGAUUAUGAAUUUUUCAUGGAUCCUUGUCAUGAUCCAUGAAAAAUUCUACCAAAGCAGCAAUGUUGUGUUGCAUUUGACUUUUUCUGUAACAACAAAUCUGUUAAUUUGAUACGAUUCUAGCGAUCUGGCAACAUUUUUUCAAUAAGAACCCAUCCUUCCUCAACAUUUUAUUAGCGUGCAUCGGAUAAGCAGGAAAAAUCCCUGACUGGAAAAACAAUCAUCGGAAGUAUCUGCUCGACGAGCCGAAAUCUUACGGAAUCGGACUAUAUUCGGAUGGAAUUUCCGACUGGACAUUGUUUUGCCUUUUUGAUAUGAAAAAGUUGGCAGCAAUCUCAACGGAAAAGUUUGACAAGACGUCAUUCAAAGUUCCGGUGAAAAAGGUGGUGGACGCUGCGCGAAGAGUUUUCGCAAUAAAUUUAAAAAGUGGCCAGUUAAAAGUGUGGGCCGUCUUCAAAGUCCCAAAAAGGGGAACUCGGUGCUCCACGGAGUCAAGAGGCAUCCCGGCUGGAAAUCCGACCAAAAGCGGCUAGGCUAGUAGCUCAGGACAACGAGACGGGUCAAUAGAAAGGCCAAACGACCACACAGUCUCCGAAUACUAAAGCCAAGCGCUCGUCCGGGUCGCAGCCACGUUCUGCAAAAUCGAGAUAACGGAGAAGGGGUCGGAAAUCCGACCCCUUUUUUCCUUUUUGGCAAAUUCUUCUUCUUUUGGCCAACUCUACAGGGCCUAGUAGGUGACAAAGCCUUCGCCACGUGGCCUCCACACCUUCCACACAUCAACCACCAUUCAUCUGGCGAGCCCAGCUGCACAACAUCCUCACCGGAACAGGCUGCACAGCUACAAGGGCCGCAUUCAAGAUUCCGGUCACUUCCGUCUCGCUACUUCAGUGGCGACGAAUUCCGGGAAACAGCAGCCGAAUUCGAGCGGGUUCAUUCGCCGCUCAAGUGGCGGAAUCGCGGUUAUUCAGCCUGCCGAAUCCAAGCGCAGCAGAUCGCUGAACGUGAGGUAAGAAUCCCGCCAAGUCUGCCGAAUCCGAUCACCGCAUCCGUGGUGGAAGUCCGGCAAUUCAGCGACCGAAUCUGAAGGAAUCCCGAACGCCGCACCAGUGGCGUGAGAUCCGGUGGAACCUCCGCCGAAACUAAGCGCUUCAGGUCGCCGCACCAGUGGCGAGUAAUCCCGGAGACGAUUGCCGAAUUCACCUGCCAUCGAUCGUCGAUCCGGUGGAAAAUCGCGGCGAAUCGGUGCGAUUAGGAUCGCUCUUCAUCGCCGCAUCCGAGACGAGGAUCAUCUGGUGGGACAGCAGCCAAUCGGGUUCGCUUUCGUCGCCGCACUAGUGGCGAAAGAAUACCGGCGGUAUUGCAGCCGAACCGAAGCGAAUUUCGUCGCUGCGGCAGGGGCCAACAUUAACGCCGCACUGGUGGCGUAGAAAUCCCGACGAAUUAGGGCCAAAUUCAUUCGCUUUCGUCGCCGCACCGGUGGCGAAGUAUCCUGGGGCACUGCUGCCGAGCAGGACCAAGUUUUAUCGCCGCAGCAGGGGCAAGCAUUUGGUGGCACAGCCGCCGACAAGUUUCGCUCGUCGUCGCCGCACCAGUGGCGAAAGAAUCCUGGGGUACCGCGGUCGAUCCGGACCGAAGUUCCUUGGCUCAUCAGGGGCGAACAUCCGCCGAAUCCGAGGGCGUUCAAUCGUCGCAUAGUGGCGAAUAUCCGGUGGGCCGCGUCAGGGGCAAAUAGUCGGCAGCACAGCCGCCGCAUCUGUGGCGAGAAUCCCGGUGGACAGGUGCCGAAUCAGAGGGCAGCAGAUCGCCGCACCCGUGGCGAAAU